rnacentral:rRNA from 1 species
GAUGAACGCUAGCGACAGGCUUAACACAUGCAAGUCGAGGGGCAGCACGGGAGUAGCAAUACAACUGGUGGCGACCGGCGCACGGGUGAGUAACGCGUAUGCAACCUACCUAUCAGAGGGGAAUAACCCGGCGAAAGUCGGACUAAUACCGCAUAAAACAGGGGCACCUCAUGGUGAUAUUUGUGAAAGAAAUUCGCUGAUAGAUGGGCAUGCGUUCCAUUAGGUAGUUGGUGAGGUAACGGCUCACCAAGCCGACGAUGGAUAGGGGAACUGAGAGGUUGGUCCCCCACACUGGUACUGAGACACGGACCAGACUCCUACGGGAGGCAGCAGUGAGGAAUAUUGGUCAAUGGGCGGGAGCCUGAACCAGCCAAGUCGCGUGAAGGAAGAAGGAUCUAUGGUUCGUAAACUUCUUUUGCAGGGGAAUAAAGUGCAGGACGUGUCCUGUUUUGUAUGUACCCUGAGAAUAAGGAUCGGCUAACUCCGUGCCAGCCGCCGCCGUAACAC